rnacentral:ncRNA from 2 species
UUGAUAAUUGCUGUAUCAAGUGCAGAGCAGUCAUACAUACUGUUUUGAAGAGGGAAUUGGGUGAGAAUCCCAAGCGAACCGGUCACUGUGUUCAGAGAGCGGACUCCAAUAUGUCAUUGCGUCACCCAUGACGCGAGAAGGCGGAGCGAGCGCAGACCUGUAAGUCAGGAAACCUGCUUGAUAUAUGAGAUGUGC